rnacentral:rRNA from 1 species
GUGGCGAACGGGUGAGUAACACGUGAGUAACCUGCCCUUGACUCUGGGAUAAGCCUGGGAAACUGGGUCUAAUACCGGAUAUGACCGUCUGACGCAUGUCAGGUGGUGGAAAGCUUUUGUGGUUUUGGAUGGACUCGCGGCCUAUCAGCUUGUUGGUGGGGUAAUGGCCUACCAAGGCGACGACGGGUAGCCGGCCUGAGAGGGUGACCGGCCACACUGGGACUGAGACACGGCCCAGACUCCUACGGGAGGCAGCAGUGGGGAAUAUUGCACAAUGGGCGCAAGCCUGAUGCAGCGACGCCGCGUGAGGGAUGACGGCCUUCGGGUUGUAAACCUCUUUCAGUAGGGAAGAAGCGAAAGUGACGGUACCUGCAGAAGAAGCGCCGGCUAACUACGUGCCAGCAGCCGCGGUAAUACGUAGGGCGCAAGCGUUAUCCGGAAUUAUUGGGCGUAAAGAGCUCGUAGGCGGUUUGUCGCGUCUGCUGUGAAAGACCGGGGCUCAACUCCGGUUCUGCAGUGGGUACGGGCAGACUAGAGUGAUGUAGGGGAGACUGGAAUUCCUGGUGUAGCGGUGAAAUGCGCAGAUAUCANGAGGAACACCGAUGGCGAAGGCAGGUCUCUGGGCAUUAACUGACGCUGAGGAGCGAAAGCAUGGGGAGCGAACAGGAUUAGAUACCCUGGUAGUCCAUGCCGUAAACGUUGGGCACUANGUGUGGGGGACAUUCCACGUUUUCCGCGCCGUAGCUAACGCAUUAAGUGCCCCGCCUGGGGAGUACGGCCGCAAGGCUAAAACUCAAAGGAAUUGACGGGGCCCGCACAAGCGGCGGANCAUGCGGAUAAUUCGAUGCACGCGA